UAACACAUGCAAGUCGAGCGGAAACGAGUUAUCUGAACCUUCGGGGAACGAUAACGGCGUCGAGCGGCGGACGGGUGAGUAAUGCCUAGGAAAUUGCCCUGAUGUGGGGGAUAACCAUUGGAAACGAUGGCUAAUACCGCAUGAUGCCUACGGGCCAAAGAGGGGGACCUUCGGGCCUCUCGCGUCAGGAUAUGCCUAGGUGGGAUUAGCUAGUUGGUGAGGUAAGGGCUCACCAAGGCGACGAUCCCUAGCUGGUCUGAGAGGAUGAUCAGCCACACUGGAACUGAGACACGGUCCAGACUCCUACGGGAGGCAGCAGUGGGGAAUAUUGCACAAUGGGCGCAAGCCUGAUGCAGCCAUGCCGCGUGUGUGAAGAAGGCCUUCGGGUUGUAAAGCACUUUCAGUCGUGAGGAAGGUGGUGUAGUUAAUAGCUGCAUUAUUUGACGUUAGCGACAGAAGAAGCACCGGCUAACUCCGUGCCAGCAGCCGCGGUAAUACGGAGGGUGCGAGCGUUAAUCGGAAUUACUGGGCGUAAAGCGCAUGCAGGUGGUUUGUUAAGUCAGAUGUGAAAGCCCGGGGCUCAACCUCGGAAUAGCAUUUGAAACUGGCAGACUAGAGUACUGUAGAGGGGGGUAGAAUUUCAGGUGUAGCGGUGAAAUGCGUAGAGAUCUGAAGGAAUACCGGUGGCGAAGGCGGCCCCCUGGACAGAUACUGACACUCAGAUGCGAAAGCGUGGGGAGCAAACAGGAUUAGAUACCCUGGUAGUCCACGCCGUAAACGAUGUCUACUUGGAGGUUGUGGCCUUGAGCCGUGGCUUUCGGAGCUAACGCGUUAAGUAGACCGCCUGGGGAGUACGGUCGCAAGAUUAAAACUCAAAUGAAUUGACGGGGGCCCGCACAAGCGGUGGAGCAUGUGGUUUAAUUCGAUGCAACGCGAAGAACCUUACCUACUCUUGACAUCCAGAGAACUUUCCAGAGAUGGAUUGGUGCCUUCGGGAACUCUGAGACAGGUGCUGCAUGGCUGUCGUCAGCUCGUGUUGUGAAAUGUUGGGUUAAGUCCCGCAACGAGCGCAACCCUUAUCCUUGUUUGCCAGCGAGUAAUGUCGGGAACUCCAGGGAGACUGCCGGUGAUAAACCGGAGGAAGGUGGGGACGACGUCAAGUCAUCAUGGCCCUUACGAGUAGGGCUACACACGUGCUACAAUGGCGCAUACAGAGGGCGGCCAACUUGCGAAAGUGAGCGAAUCCCAAAAAGUGCGUCGUAGUCCGGAUUGGAGUCUGCAACUCGACUCCAUGAAGUCGGAAUCGCUAGUAAUCGUGGAUCAGAAUGCCACGGUGAAUACGUUCCCGGGCCUUGUACACACCGCCCGUCACACCAUGGGAGUGGGCUGCAAAAGAAGUAGGUAGUUUAACCUUCGGGGGGACGCUUACCACUU
rnacentral:rRNA from 1 species